rnacentral:rRNA from 1 species
GAAAUUGAACUCGCUGUGAAGAUGCAGUGUACCAGCGGCAAGACGGAAAGACCCCGUGAACCUUUACUAUAGCUUGACACUGAACAUUGAGCCUUGAUGUGUAGGAUAGGUGGGAGGCUUUGAAGCGUGGACGCCAGUCUGCGUGGAGCCAACCUUGAAAUACCACCCUUUAAUGUUUGAUGUUCUAACGUUGGCCCCUGACCGGGGUUGCGGACAGUGUCUGGUGGGUAGUUUGACUGGGGCGGUCUCCUCCCAAAGCGUAACGGAGGAGCACGAAGGUUAGCUAAUCCUGGUCGGACAUCAGGAGGUUAGUGCAAUGGCAUAAGCUAGCUUGACUGCGAGCGUGACGGCGCGAGCAGGUGCGAAAGCAGGUCAUAGUGAUCCGGUGGUUCUGAAUGGAAGGGCCAUCGCU